AUAAUGAGAUGAUAAACCUCAUUAAGCUUCAGCCUUCAUUAUCUAUUGUCUUAGUUGCAUUUCACGCGACCAAAAUUCAAUGUACAGCAUAUAUAAAACAAGGCUUACGGAGUUACGCAUCAUUGCGUUCAGCAAACUGCUAGGCCAUUCAAAUUUUAAUAACAAUAGAUUACUUCAAUAGUUUGCGCUUUUUUCACUUCCGAGUAGCGGGCGGAGGUAUGCAGUCUCUGAAUGCCCUCUAGUUU
rnacentral:lncRNA from 1 species